GGAAGGGCGGGCGCGCCGCCCCGGGGGUGGGCAACUCGGCGCGGCCUCCAGCUGCUAUAUAAACGCACUCGGACGCCGUCGGGAAGAGCAGCACAAGGACGAGCCAGGAGGCUUCGGCUCCCCACUACGCGGAUCCUCCCUGUCUCUGCUCGGGUGCUCUUUCCCGGGGAGGGGCUGGGAGGUUGCUUGGGGGCCACCUCAGACCCACAGGGACCGCGGCUCUCCAGGCAUCUCACCCCGAAGGUGGCCGGCCAGAGAUUCCGGAAGACACGGCGCCGGCCGCAGGCGGGUUCACCCGGGAUUCGUCAGUGGUGCCGGCCAGAGCGCCACCAGCCGCGCGUGGCGACCGCGGGAGGCGCAGGCGACCCGGGGCUGGGCCCGUCCCGCCGAAAGGGGUUCCCCUGGGCCGCGCGCCCCGCCGCUCGGGCCAGACAGAACAUUUGCCCAAAUGCUUGCAAUUGCUGGGAUCAGGCCAGAGACAGGAGACUAGUAUUCAAUCUGGUUGUCUUGUGAGAGUGUCAAGGACCCACCCACCUGAGCCAUCGCUUGCUGCUUUCAAGCUCUCUGCUAUGGCCUGGGAAAGCAGUAGAAGAUGGCCAAAGUCCUUGGGCCCCUGAACCUGUGUGGAAGACCUGUAGGAAGCUCCUGGCUCCUGGCUUUGGAUCGGCGCAGCUGCAGCCGUUGCGGCCAACUGGGGAGUGAACCAGCGGAUGGAAGAUCUCUCUCUCUCUCUCUCUCUCUGCCUCUCCUUCUCUCUCUGUGUAACUCU